rnacentral:rRNA from 1 species
GUGGGGAAUCUUCCGCAAUGGACGAAAGUCUGACGGAGCAACGCCGCGUGAGUGAAGAAGGUUUUCGGAUCGUAAAGCUCUUUCGUUAGGGACGAACGUGCUCUUUGUGAAUAAUGAGGAGUAAUGACGGUACCUAAAUAAGAAGCCACGGCUAACUACGUGCCAGCAGCCGCGGUAAUACGUAGGUGGCAAGCGUUGUCCGGAAUUAUUGGGCGUAAAGCGCGCGCAGGCGGGAUAUCAAGUCUGUCUUAAAAGUGCGAGGCUCAACCUCGUGAGGGGACAGAAACUGGUAUUCUUGAGUGUUGGAGAGGAAAGUGGAAUUCCAAGUGUAGCGGUGAAAUGCGUAGAGAUUUGGAAGAACACCAGUGGCGAAGGCGACUUUCUGGACGAUGUCUGACGCUGAGGCGCGAAAGCUAGGGGAGCGAACGGGAUUAGAAACCCGGGUAGUCC